CUGAAAGAUAAUUUAGCUACUUUUGUGUAUGGUACUGAGGACUGAACCUAGGGCCUUGAGCUGCUAAGCAUGCAUUCUUACACUGAGUAACACAGCUUCUAAGUAGGUUAUCUUUAAUUGUUUAAAGAACUUAAAUGGAAAAUCAGUUCAAAUUGUCUGCUUCUGGAAGGGAGUAUCAAGUCCAGCAGGGAAAUAAGAGCAGAAGCCAUUUCUCUUCAAGAGAAUUCUGAACCCCUGAAUGAGGCUGAGACCUUGAACCCAGAAGCUACUCUAUCUUUGGAAGGGACUGUGAACCUGGAAGACAUUCUCUACCUAGGGGACACAGGUGACUUCGAAGAGACACUUUACAUGGAGGAGCCUGAGAGUCCAGAGGCGAUACUGUAUAUUGAGGAGACUGGGCAGCCAGAGGCACUAUUGGUGGAAGAGCCUGUGAGUGCAAGGGAGAUGCAGUAUGAGGAGACUGAGAAGCCAAAUCUGGAACAGCCUGUGGAUCUAGCAAAGAGCCUGAGCCCAGAGCAAAUUGUCUGUGAGGGAGAGAUGACUGAAAGGGAGGAAAAAUCCAACCCUGAGGAGAACCUCAAACCUGAGCGGAGCCCCAGCCCAGAGGAGAACCUGAGCAUUGAGGAUCUGGAACUGCUAGAGGGCCGUUUCCAGCAGUGUGUGCAAGCAGUGGCCCAGCUGGAAGAGGAGCGGGAUCAGCUCAUCCAUGAGCUGGUGCUGCUCCGAGAACCAGCCCUGCAGGAGGUACAGCAAGUCCAUCAGGACAUCCUGGCUGCCUAUAAGCUGCACGCGCAGGCAGAACUGGAGAGAGAUGGGCUAAGGGAAGAGAUCAGGCUGGUCAAGCAGAAGCUAUUGCAAGGUGACCAAGGAAUGUGUGACCUACCAGUACCAGUUGGAGUGCCGUCAGCAGGACGUGGCUCAGUUCACUGA
rnacentral:lncRNA from 1 species